rnacentral:lncRNA from 1 species
CAACCUCACAAAAUAGUUAUGGGGAUAAAAUUCUAUAAUUCUUUUAAAACCCUGAAAGAUUUUUUAAAUUUAAGAUAUAGUAGCAGUUAACCAGUAAGAAAUCUAAAUCCUACUUUGUCGGGUUGUCAUGAGAAACAAUUAAGGCAAUUUAUGUGAAGUUUAUUAGCUGGUUUGCUGCAAGAUAUAGUAUAUCUAUAAAUAACUGUUCAAUAAAUAUUUGCAGUAUCUGUAAUGGAUCAGUAGUAAUGGAUAAGAGUAAAAAAAUUUUUGUUUUCUAAAAAAAUUAAAUAUUUGCUUAUAAUUGGAGUUACUUUUUUAUUUUUCAGUUAACAAAAACCAGCAUCACGCUCAAGGUUUUGUGAACUUAUCAGUUCCCUUAUUUCAACUCCUGGUCCUGUUGGAAAAAGUGACAGUUGGGAGGCAGAACUGCGCAUGGUAGCCCAGAGCUCUUACCAUCUGAGCCACGUGCCCAUUCAUUUCUCAUUUCAGAAUACUGCAUUGUGUCACAAGAAUUCAACUAUGUACUCAUGGAGAAGGAGGGAGAAAGCAAGGAAGGAAAAAAGAGAAAAGUAAUUUACAUAGUAACAGCAAUUCUGCUCAACAUUCCAUUCAGUGAGCCGAUACCCUGGAGUGCAGAAACUGUUAUGAAUGUACUCCACCAAGGCAAGAAAGGAAGAAGACAUGGAAUUUAAAAAACAGAGGAUCUACUAUGAAAGAGAAAGGUGAAGGGAAUUCCAGGCUGAUGGUAAAUGCAAAUUCCAGGAUGAGAGUUGGGCAGCAGGCCUAGAGUGCACUCCGUCCUGGGAGGAGCCAGAUGAUAGAGGGCUCUAGGAGAGAAGGCUCCAAGGGAAAAUGAAACAAGAGGAGGAGAAGAAACAGGCUUACGCUGAGCGAAUCCAAUGUGCAGACAGACACACAGGGAAGGUGACCAUUUGAAGACGGAGGCAGAAACUGAAGUUGUGCAACUGCAAACCAAGAAAUGCCAUGGAUUGCCAACAACCACCAGGAACUAGAAGAGGCAAGGUAAGGUUCAGCAAAGUCUAUGUCAUUCUCUAAUCCUUUUGAUCCAGCGGAUUCUUUGGAGGAAUUUGAAUACAUAUUGGAUUUUGCAUCCAGGUUUGCAAGAGGAAAAUACAAAGGUGACUUCUGGGCCUGCUGGAGGUGGAGGGUAGAGGAUGGACAGCUGACAUCUAGUCACAGAGGAAAGAACACAGAAAGAGAUCUCCAGUUAAAGCUGAUAGAUUGAACCACAGACAACCCACCUCCUUCUAAAAUCCCUCUAGAACAAUGGUUUAAAAAAAGUGCUUUAACAUAAAACUUCAAAAUCAAAAAGAUAAGGAAAAUGAUGAAAACCACUCAGAUAAGAAGAGAGGAUAUUUAUGCAGAGGCUGCUGUCGUUGGGAGUCCGCCACCAUACCACUAUACUUUGGUGAGACUUGAAGGCAGGCAGGGAGUGGAAACACUUUAUGCUGUAGUGAAAAAAGGGGAAGGCUUCGGUAUGCUCUGACUGGAGAUCAUUGUCAUGGGGAAACUGCAGGUGGGCUAACUAGAGGCUGGGCUUCUUGUGUAAUGGUUUGGCUUUCUCUGGUUGGUCCUGUGUUGAAAAUAGGGGCAAAAUAUAGGGAAGCUGACUCAUUGACCAAGCCCUGCCCAGGCUGGCCAAUUGCAGAGGUUGUGGGUCAGAGUUCUAUUGUCAUAUAUGGUCUGGCUACUGUCUGUUUAUAUAAUCCGUCUCUCAGAGAACAGUAGAGGAGAUCAAAUUAUUAACAUUUUGGAAGCUGGAAAGCAGGAGGAUAGUGUGAGCUGAAUUAGCAGACUUGCCAUCUAUCAAAGGGGAUAGCCAAAAGCAAGCCAGAUUUGCCCCAGAGAACCACCAAAGGUUCAAGAAUUGGCAGCACCAGGUACCCCCAGAAGCAGGGAUAAAGUGGGGGCUGAAAUUGGACAGUUGGUUCAAAGUCUAUUUCAGAAGCAUUAGACCACUGGAUUUCUUCCCCAGCUCCCAAAUGACUGCCUGGUGCAAAAGACUCAGGAUUGAUUCCCUGGAGAGGGUAGGUAGUUCUUUGUCUAGUUAAGGAUGGGAUGCCAUAACAAACAUGCCAAUUCAGUGAAAGUACCUACUUUCAAGACUCCUGCUUAACUCCCCUAAAUCAGCAGCCAAUGUUAGAAGCCAAGUGUUAAAGUUUUUCAGAUAAUUUUGCUAUAAGCCUAUGGAGAAAUUUCAUUACCAUCUCAUAGCAAGGCCUAUAGUAUAAGAGCAGGCCUAUAGUAGCAUAUGGGGGAAAGUCUAAAAGACUUUGAAAUGGACCAAAAGAUUAUUGAGAAAUGGAAAACUGCAUUGUUUUAAGUAUCCCUUUCCAACUUAUCAGAUUCUGUGGGGUUUAUACCUUUCAUUGUCUUUGAGGUAUUUAACAAUUCUAAAGAGAUAGACUCUAACUUGUAGAAAACUAAGAGUAACAUAAAUAAUUAUCGUCUUUAGAUAUACAAAUAAAUUCUGUUCUGAGAA